AUUGAACGCUAGCGGGAUGCCUUACACAUGCAAGUCGAACGGAGUGGCGAAGGGGUGAGUAAUGUAUAGGAAAGUGCCCAGUAGCGGGGGAUAACUACGCGAAAGCGUAGCUAAUACCGCAUACUAUUGGAGCGGCCGAAAUCGGAUUAGGUAGAUGGUGGGGUAACGGCACACCAAGGCGAAGAUCCGUAGCUGGUUGGAGAGGACGAGCAGCCACACUGGGACUGAGACACGGCCCAGACUCCUACGGGAGGCAGCAGUGGGGAAUUUUGGACAAUGGGGGCAACCCUGAUCCAGCCAUCCCGCGUGUGCGAUGAAGGCCUUCGGGUUGUAAAGCACUUUUGGCAGGAAAGCGGUACCUGCAGAAUAAGCACCGGCUAACUACGUGCCAGCCGCCGCGGUAAUUC
rnacentral:rRNA from 1 species